rnacentral:rRNA from 1 species
AGGUACCGUCAGUCCGGUCGGCUAUUCACCGCCGAACCUUCCGUCCCUCCUGGAAAGGGGUUUACAACCCGAAGGCCGUCUUCCCCCACGCGGCGUUGCUGCGUCACGCUUUCGCGCAUUGCGCAAGAUUCCC